GUGCCAGCCGCCGCGGUAACCCCAGCGCCACAAGUGGUCAUCGCGAUUAUUGGGCCUAAAGCGUUCGUAGCCGGUUUGGUGCAUCUCUUGUGAAAUUGUUCGGCUUAACCGGACAGCGUGCAGGAGACACGGCCAAACUCGAGACCGGGAGGCGUGUGAAGUAUGUCGUGGGGACUGGUAAAAUGGGAUAAUCCACGAUAGACUACCGAUGGCGAAGGCAUCACACGAGAACGGAUCUGACGGUGAGGAACGAAAGCCAGGGGAGCGAACCGGAUUAGAUACCCCCGUAGUCC
rnacentral:rRNA from 1 species